CCACAGGGAUGCUGGCCCAUGUUGACUCUACAAGGUGUUGAAAGCGUUCCACAGGGAUGCUGGCCCAUGUUGACUCUACAAGGUGUUGAAAGCGUUCCACAGGGAUGCUGGCCCAUGUUGACUCUACAAGGUGUUGAAAGCGUUCCACAGGGAUGCUGGCCCAUGUUGACUCUACAAGGUGUUGAAAGCGUUCCACAGGGAUGCUGGCCCAUGUUGACUCUACAAGGUGUUGAAAGCGUUCCACAGGGAUGCUGGCCCAUGUUGACUCUACAAGGUGUUGAAAGUGUUCCACAGGGAUGCUGGCCCAUGUUGACUCUACAAGGUGUUGAAAGUGUUCCACAGGGAUGCUGGCCCAUGUUGACUCUACAAGGUGUUGAAAGGGUUCCACAGGGAUGCUGGCCCAUGUUGACUCCAAUGCUUCCCACAGUCGUGUCCAGUUGGCUGGAUGUCCUUUGGGUUGUGGACUAUUCUUGAUACACACGGGAAACUGUUGGGUGUGAAAAACCCAGAAGCGUUGCAGUUCUUGACACAAACCGGUGUGGCGGAUACACACCACUACUCUUAGAAAAAAGGGUUCCAAAGAGGUCCUUCAGCUGUCCCCACAGGAGAACCCUUUUUGGUUCUAGGUAGAACCCUUUUGGGUUCCAUGUAGAACCCUUAGUGGAAAGGGUUCUAGAUAGCACCUCAGAAUGGUCUACCAUACCCCGUUCAAAGGCACUUCAAUCUUUUGCCCUGUCACCCCCUGAAUGGCACACAUCCAUGUCUCCAGUGU